AGUGAACGCUGGCGGUAGGCCUAACACAUGCAAGUCGAACGGCAGCACAGUAAGAGCUUGCUCUUACGGGUGGCGAGUGGCGGACGGGUGAGGAAUACAUCGGAAUCUACUUUUUCGUGGGGGAUAACGUAGGGAAACUUACGCUAAUACCGCAUACGACCUACGGGUGAAAGCAGGGGAUCUUCGGACCUUGCGCGAUUGAAUGAGCCGAUGUCGGAUUAGCUAGUUGGCGGGGUAAAGGCCCACCAAGGCGACGAUCCGUAGCUGGUCUGAGAGGAUGAUCAGCCACACUGGAACUGAGACACGGUCCAGACUCCUACGGGAGGGAGCAGUGGGGAAUAUUGGACAAUGGGCGCAAGCCUGAUCCAGCCAUACCGCGUGGGUGAAGAAGGCCUUCGGGUUGUAAAGCCCUUUUGUUGGGAAAGAAAUCCAGCCGGCUAAUACCUGGUUGGGAUGACGGUACCCAAAGAAUAAGCACCGGCUAACUUCGUG
rnacentral:rRNA from 1 species